rnacentral:rRNA from 1 species
GAUGAACGCUGGCGGCGUGCCUAACACAUGCAAGUCGAACGGACAUUUUUUGGAAAGUUCUUCGGAACUGGAAUCUAAAUGUUAGUGGCGGACGGGUGAGUAACGCGUGAGCAAUCUGCCUUUCAGAGGGGGAUAACAGCCGGAAACGGCUGCUAAUACCGCAUAAGACCACAGAGCCGCAUGGCUCGGGGGUCAAAGGAGAAAUCCGCUGAAGGAUGGCCUCGCGUCCGAUUAGCUAGUUGGCGGGGUAACGGCCCACCAAGGCGACGAUCGGUAGCCGGACUGAGAGGUUGAUCGGCCACAUUGGGACUGAGACACGGCCCAG